rnacentral:rRNA from 1 species
UGGUAAUGAUGGCAGAGAGGUCACACCCGUUCCCAUACCGAACACGGAAGUUAAGCUCUCUAGCGCCGAUGGUAGUUGAGACCUUGUCCCUGUGAGAGUAGGACAUUGCCAGGCA